CACUAAUGAGAGCCUGUUUUUUCCAUAAUUGCUGUACAAAGAACUCUUUCUGGAAACUCUGAUAACUGUUAGGGUGGGGGGGGGGCAGAAUUUUUUUUUUAAAUGAUAAAUUUUAAAUUAUUUAACACUUUAAUUUGUUUAACAUAUAAAUGGUAAAAAUCCAAGCAGUACAAAUUGGUAAAAAAUAAGCAUUCUUCCAUCCCUGACGCCAAGGCCCCAAUUCCAGAAGACUAGGUUGCCCUACAUCUACUUCUUCCCCACUGCAUAUGAGGACAAAAAGCAGCCAUUUUUUUUUCUUUCAUGUAUGAGAGAAAGAUGCUAUAUCGUAUAUUCCUGAUUUUAAUGUCCUAUCUUAGGGAUAGUUAAGUUUAUAUUGAACCACCUCUUUAUUUUUCUGAACUGUGUAAUGUGCCAUGCCAUGGACUUGCUGGGCUUUAUUUAGCUGUGGUAAAGAGUAGUGAUUAAGAAUUUAAAUUCUGCAGAGAACCUGCCUCUGUGUGGCUUUUUUUCAUACCAUGGAACUACCAGCAAGUAUUUGUUGAGGGCUUUUUGUCUUGGGAUCCUGAGAUAACAGGAGGCAAGUAAAGACAUUGCUUCCAUUCUUGAAGAAUAUGGAGACAGUGUUUAUUUUCCCCAGACAGGUUGAGAAUGAUAAAGUUUUCUGUUUUGAGCCUUAAACCUGAUGCUAUCUAGAGGGUACCUGCUCUAAGCUGAUUCCACGCAGGAGAGAGAGCAAGUCCAAAGGCCCUGAGGUGGGACUGUGAGUUCCAAUCACUUGAGGACCAGCACAGAGGCUAGUGAUUCUGAAAGCAGAGGAAUAUACAGUCUCACCUGUUGAUUCCUAGGAAAAAGAUGCUUUAAGGCAAAUUGUAUCAGUGUGUAAUAAAAGUAAAAUAUUCCCUCCAAGCUAUCUCAGUGAGGUUUCUGGAGAAGGUUUGAAGAAAGUUGUAUGAUUUCUAAAGUACAAGAAAAUAGUUUUCUUUACAGAGUCCAGGACUUUGCAGUGAAAUUCUCUUGCCUCUAAUCCUAGUGAGUUUGAAGGAAGCAGAGGAGUGUACUCAGGAAACAAAUGUAGAUGAAGGAGCACAUAGUUGAAUAAAUGAACUAAUUAGAACCUGAAGUAACUAGAUAGGCUCUAGAAAAAUAGCAGAAGAGAUUGAGACAGCGCCAUCCUGAUUGGUCGGCAGGGAACUCAGUGAAAUUUCUAAAAGAUGUAAGUAUUAAGUUACCAGCUGGCAAAUUUGAUGCCAGCCAAAGUAGGGAGGAAAUUUUACUUUGUACUCAAAGUUAUAGGUUUUUAAAACAUUUUUUUUUUAAUAUCAGUUGUUUGCAUGGAAGUAGGAAGAAACUAAUCAGCGUGGAGAAUUAGUAGCAGCCAAUUUUUCACCCCCACACCCACCCCAGUCCUACCUUAAUGAAGCUUUCAUCUGAUUUUCCCAGUAUUACCCCCCACUGGUUCAGAGAUAAGUAAAGGGACAUUGUAUCAGAAUGCUUGAAAUAUAUUAGUACAUUAUUUCAAAGGAUACAUAUUUUUAGCAACAAAAGUAUCUCUUAACUCCUAGCUUUUUAUUUGUCUACCUAGCAGUGAAGAGUGUUAAACAGGACCUUUUGAUUUUGAGAAAAUAUUGAUAUUGGAUGUUUUCUGUGCAUUUAUUUCUUUUAGGAAAAAAUAGCAGUGAAAAAACAUUGUCAGUCUGGAUGGUUCUUUUUCAGAUGCAAGAUCACUCAAACCGAAAUCCUUUUUGUACUCAAAUUGGGCCUGCCAGCUUUAAAAGAGGGCAGUCAGGAUAAUGUGAUAAACUGGCCCGAGUGUUCAAUCUUAGCUCAUCAAGGCUGCACCAGAAUUGACAUUUUUGUACAGUAUGGCUUGAUGCUCUGAUUACAAAUUGGUCCUGAGUAGCUAGACUGUUUGUAAUUUUAUUCACUAAGGGAUUGUGCUUGUAUCAUUAGGUCUGUUUUAGUUUUGAAAGCUGGAGGAAGAAAUACACUCCUGGUUACCCUCUCUUGUUUAAGAAUGAGAGGAAGAGGGAGAGGGAGAGGAAGAGGGAGAGGGAGAGGGGAUAUUCAUACAGAAACAAAUGCAAUUUAUUCUAUGAAAUUAAGACUUUUAUUUUUUUCCCAAGGCAGUGAUGAUAGCAUUUCUCUUCCCACUUCUUCCUGGAAGUUUUACAGAGAAGCUUAAAUUGAAGUUUUAGAAAGGGUAUUGCAUAUUUAUAUUUCUCAUAUUUGAUUUUAAUUGUGAUAAAUGGAUGAACUGUCUUGAGAAGAGUAGAUCUAUAAUUGUAUCUCUUUUGGGCUUGUUGUCUAGAAUUCUAUUUUUAAUUCAAUGGAGGAACUUUUUUACACAAUGAAAUUAACAGCAAUUAGUUUUUGGUCAAGGGCCUUUUAUUCUUGGGAGAAUAAAAAAUAAGCAAAGACAAUGUGUUCUGUCCUUGGAAAACCUAGAGACAGCAUGUAUUUAUGCCGAGCAGAUCGAGAGUGGUAAACUAUUGCACAUCAUUAAGAGUUAAAUUGGGUGCUGGAGACAGUGACUUCACUAGGAUUCAAAGAAGGAAGCGAUCAUCUAGGAGCAACAUAAUUUGGGUGAUAUUUCUAACAUGUCAUCAGAGAACCACUGGGUAAUAAUGGGAAAGUAGAUAGUUUUAUCUGACCGUAAUUACAAACAUUGAACUUGAUAUGGACUACUUCACAGGCUACAAAACAGCCAGAUCAUGGAUAAAUAAACCAAGGCUUCAAUGUAUGGCUAGGCUUGGAGCAAGUAAGGGAAAUUUCCAACCCUCCCAUGUAAACAACCACUGCCCCCAAAGGAAACAACAAACCUUGAACUGAAACCCAAGUGAGAAGUACUGAGCAAGGAGUAAGUAGAAAAGACAAAAAUUGUUCUGAGUGUGAUAGUCACGUAGUUCUGUAUCUGAGGAUCGGCCUCAAGUGAGCCAGUUGUAAACUAGAAGGUAAGGAAGCUGAACCUGGCUCCUGAAUAAUCAGGACCUGGGUUGGUAGCCUGCCUUGGUUUUCAGAGAAAGCAACCAUCAUUCCUCUGGGGCAAAGCAUGCCCUAUUUGGGACUGCAGAAAUCCCACAGGUAAAGUUUAAAAACUGAUCCCACAAUCAAAGAUGGAAAAAAUAUACCAAAAAACCAACCAUUAUCAGUCAGAGAUAACAGAAGGAAAACACAGCCAAAAGUGGACUUAGACCCUGGAGAUUUUCAGGUAUGGGAAUUAUCAAAUUUAGCAUGUAAAAUAAAUUUGGUAUGACUCUUUAAGGAGUAAAAGGAAAUUAUUUAAAAUAUGCGCAUGCAACAAAAGACUAUAAAAAUGAUUAGGAAGAUUUUACAAAAAGCGAUAUGGAACUUU
rnacentral:lncRNA from 1 species